GGGCGAGCGUCUCCCGGGCCGAAGGAGGAAGAUGGCGGUGGAAUCGCGCGUUACACAGGAGGAAAUUAAGAAGGAGCCGGAGAAGCCGAUCGACAGCGAGAAGACCUGCCCGCUCCUGCUGCGGGUCUUCACCACCAAUAACGGCCGCCACCACCGAAUGGACGAGUUCUCCCGGGGGAACGUGCCUUCGAGCGAGCUGCAGAUCUACACCUGGAUGGAUGCAACCUUGAAAGAACUGACUAGUUUAGUAAAGGAAGUCUACCCAGAAGCCAGAAAGAAGGGCACGCACUUCAAUUUCGCAAUUGUGUUUAUGGAUCUUAAAAGACCUGGAUAUCGAGUUAAGGAGAUUGGCAGCACCAUGUCUGGCAGGAAGGGCACUGAUGACUCCAUGACCCUGCAGUCACAGAAGUUCCAAAUAGGGGAUUAUCUGGACAUAGCCAUCACGCCUCCAAAUCGGGCACCGCCUUCGUCAGGGAGGAUGAGACCGUACUGAAUUCUAUUGACUUUCUUGAAGUUAUUUUUCAGCCAGUUUGUAAAAUAAACUUACUUAAUCCUUUCAAAAA